UACGAAGGGUGCGAGCGUUGUUCGGAAUUACUGGGCGUAAAGGGUUCGUAGGCUGAAAUAUAAGUCAAGUGUGAAAUCCCCGAGCUAAACUUGGGACGUGCGCUUGAAACUGUAUUUCUUGAGUAUCGUAGAGGGUGGUGGAAUUGUAGGUGUAGGAGUGACAUCCGUAGAGAUCUGCAGGAACAUCGGAGGCGAAGGCGACCACCUGGCCGAAAACUGACGCUGAGGAACGAAAGCGUGGGGAGCAAACAGG
rnacentral:rRNA from 1 species